rnacentral:rRNA from 1 species
GUGAACGCUGGCGGUAGGCCUAACACCUGCAAGUCGAACGGCAGCACAGUAAGCGCUUGCUCUUACGGGUGGCGAGUGGCGGACGGGUGAGGAAUACAUCGGAAUCUACUUUUUCGUGGGGGAUAACGUAGGGAAACUUACGCUAAUACCGCAUACGACCUACGGGUGAAAGCAGGGGAUCUUCGGACCUUGCGCGAUUGAAUGAGCCGAUGUCGGAUUAGCUAGUUGGCGGGGUAAGGGCCCACCAAGGCGACGAUCCGUAGCUGGUCUGAGAGGAUGAUCAGCCACACUGGAACUGAGACACGGUCCAGACUCCUACGGGAGGCAGCAGUGGGGAAUAUUGGACAAUGGGCGCAAGCCUGAUCCAGCCAUACCGCGUGGGUGAAGAAGGCCUUCGGGUUGUAAAGCCCUUUUGUUGGGAAAGAAAAGCAGCAGGUUAAUACCCCGCUGUUCUGACGGUACCCAAAGAAUAAGCACCGGCUAACUUCGUG